CGCUCUCUCUGUCCCUCUCUCCUCUCUCUCUCUCUCUCUGCGUGGAAGCUUCAUCGACAGAUCUAGUUAGAUUCGCGCCGAUGACCAUCGUCUCUCUCCUCUAUUCUCUCCGUGUCGAAUCAAUGCCCCGGAGCCGUGCCUCCUUCACGUCAUAGAUCUGAAAAUCACCGUUAUUUUCUCUCCUCUGGAUAUGAUCAAACAGUUUGGGCAUGGAGGAUGAUAGAGGUCUUGUACUCCUUAUAACGCCCGUAAGAAGAUCAACCCUAAUUUUCUGUCUCGAUUUCUGAGCACCAAUUUCUCUCUCCGUUUCUGACUCUGAACAUCAAUUUCUUGCGAGAACCCUCGCUUUCCUUCCCCUGUUUUUGCGAUGUUCGCUGCAGCCGUUGAUUCGUCGUUAACGUCUCUGUCGUCUCUUUAAGGUUUCUAGCUUGUAGAAAAAUGGGUGUUAGAGCGCCUCAAACAGCCUUGGGUUGUUUAUUCCCUCCAGAUCGGUUCAUUCUUUAUUCUUUGCAACUCUAGAAGUUGAGGAGAUAUCAGGUUCAAAACCAGCGGAAGUGCACAACUGGGGGUUGGUUUUAGCAACAUAUGUAACGUUCAUCAUUGGAUAUGAUUUUUUGUUUAUUUUUGCUGGAGAAAUUUUAUUUCGAGGGAGGUUUUGAUUAUGAUGAAAAAAAGGAAGUGGAAGAGGGAAAAUGAGCUUUUUUUACCUUCCUAUUUUUUUGUUCCCCCCCUCCCCCCUCUUUUUCCCUCUCUCUUUAAAAGUCUAUAUGAUAUCUUAUUUGUGAUAUAAGAAAAAAGUGCACGUUGUUUUACUCUCCUUGUGUGUUCUCUCACAGAUCAAUCCAA